AAAAACACAAAAAAAAAAAAUUCAAAGCCAUAAGGCUCCAGCCUUUUUCAACACAGGAGUCAACUCGCCGGUAAUAUGAGCCGCCAUAAUCCGAUCCAAUCCACCAAACAGCUCCCCUCCGACGAACACCGCCGGAAAUUGCAACCGUCCGGUGUCUUUCCGAUCACUACCUCCGGCGACGAUAAUAUUCUCCAACUCAUCAACCACUUCGUUUUCAUCGUCUUCCUCGAUUUCAUAAAUGGCAGGAUUUGCUCCGAGACAAUGAAGUAAACGUUUCACAACAUGGCUCAUACAACAACCUCGUCUUCCCACAACGAUAACCGCGUUAUCCUUAACAACGUUAUUCAAUUCUUCUUUUGAACCUUUA
rnacentral:misc_RNA from 1 species